GGGUCAGUAGGUUGGUCGUGCCACCGGUACGUAAUGGUAUCACUGAUUCCUCCUUCCUGAAGAACCGUAAUGCCAUUAAUUUGGUGUUGCGGGGAAACAGGACUGUUACUUUGAAAAAAUUAGAGUGUUUAAAGCAAGCUAACGCUUGAAUACAUUAGCAAGGAAUAAUGAAAUAGGACGAUCGAUCCUAUUUUGUUGGUUUCUAGGAUUGACGUA
rnacentral:rRNA from 1 species